GACGAACGCUGGCGGCGUGCCUAAUACAUGCAAGUCGAACGCAGUGGGGACGGGUGAGUAACACGUGGGUAACCUCCCAUCAGAGGGGAUAACCCUUGGAAACAGGUGCUAAACCGAUACUGAUUGAUGGACCCGCGGUGCAUUCGAGAGGUGGGGAGGUAACGGCUAACCAAGGCCACGAUGCAUAGCCGACCUGAGAGGGGGAUCGGCCACACUGGAACGUAGACACGGCCCAGACUCCUACGGGAGGCAGCAGUGGGGAAUAUUCGGCAAUGGACGAAAGUCUGACCGAGCAACGCCGCGUGAGUGAAGAAGGUUUUCGGAUCGUAAAACUCUGUUGGUAGAGAGGCGGUAUCUAACCAGAAAGCAACGGCUAACUACGUGCCAGCAGCCGCGGUAAUAC
rnacentral:rRNA from 1 species